UACUGAGACUGUUUCUAUUGCAUGUGACAAGAAUAUUGGCUAGAACUUUCCGUUAGUGUGCAUCCAACUUUAAAAUCUCUGUCAUUUCAUGGGUGAGGCCAGAUUCUCUUUGCCACCCAAUUCAACUGUGAAUUGACAAACUUUUUGAAGUGGCAAAUACUUUGUCUUUAUUGAACAUUUUGAUUGUCUUGCUUUUUCCUGCAUUGUUUUCACAAGCCCAGUAUUGAAGAACUUUGCUUGCACUUUGUUAAUUAAAACUGUGUUUGUCUUAUGCAUAGAUUAAUUAAACUACCCGAAACUUCUCUUUUAUUCUUUUUUUUUUUUUUUUGCUUUCUGCUUUUUUGAUAUUUCAUAUUUAGACAAGGAUGGCACCGAAAAACUUCUCCCCUUCAGCUCUGUUGUUUUGAUAGCAGCACAUUUAAUUGGAUUUCCCCUUUUAAUCUACAAUGGCAGCACCGAUUCAUUCUUUUUUGUUUACUUCACAAAAUACUUUUGAUUUCGUUGUGAACGUAAAAGACACCAUACCCCAAUUGUAUUACAAAAUAGCAAAGGCCGUAGCUAAUCAACCUCUUUUGUGCAGGUUUAAAACAGAACACCAGCUAAAGUGUUGAAGCUCCAGAGUUUAAACUCAAGGGUGAGGCAUAACUAAAGGUCGCCACAUGAAUCCAAUUGAAUCCGGUAUUUUGAUCCAUUUCAAUUCUAUCACUUAUCAAGAACAAUCCACAGAGGGAUAGACUGUCUGCUUUCCUUCGCACAAAGACAUCAAACUGUAUUUCUGCACUCUUCGAUCUUCAGCCAAACUGUUGGCUUCAAAGUUGGCUAAGAAGGGAAAUCCAAGCUCUUAGCAGCAAAGGCGGAAAACUUAUUCAGCUGAUUUCACUCUGAAACUCAAUUCUAAGUCACCUAUGAUGACCUGGAAAUCGAAGUAAGAGCCUGGCACAAGCAGAAAUUCCGGAAGAAAUUCAAAAAGUUUGCAAGGAAGUUCAAGCAAAGUUCAAUUGCCAGUCCUGUUUACCUGCUCUGAAAAUUGUAUUCUGUAUACGGGCAUCUGCUCUUUCAAUUUCAGUUUCAUAUCAACUAUAUUCACUUUCAA